GUGAACGCUGGCGGUAGGCCUAACACCUGCAAGUCGCACGGCAGCACAGUAAGAGCUUGCUCUUACGGGUGGCGAGUGGCGGACGGGUGAGGAAUACAUCGGAAUCUACUUUUUCGUGGGGGAUAACGUAGGGAAACUUACGCUAAUACCGCAUACGACCUACGGGUGAAAGCAGGGGAUCUUCGUACCUUGCGCGAUUGAAUGAGCCGAUGUCGGAUUAGCUAGUUGGCGGGGUAAAGGCCCACCAAGGCGACGAUCCGUAGCUGGUCUGAGAGGAUGAUCAGCCACACUGGAACUGAGACACGGUCCAGACUCCUACGGGAGGCAGCAGUGGGGAAUAUUGGACAAUGGGCGCAAGCCUGAUCCAGCCAUACCGCGUGGGUGAAGAAGGCCUUCGGGUUGUAAAGCCCUUUUGUUGGGAAAGAAAAGCAGCAGGUUAAUACCCCGCUGUUCUGACGGUACCAAAAGAAUAAGCACCGGCUAACUUCGU
rnacentral:rRNA from 1 species